UACGUAGGGGGCAAGCGUUGUCCGGAUUUAUUGGGCGUAAAGAGCGUGUAGGCGGCUAUACAGGUCCGUUGUGAAAACUCGAGGCUCAACCUCGAGACGCCGAUGGAAACCGUAUGGCUAGAGUCCGGAAGAGGAGAGCGGAAUUCCUGGUGUAGCGGUGAAAUGCGCAGAUAUCAGGAAGAACACCCGUGGCGAAGGCGGCUCUCUGGGACGGUACUGACGCUGAGACGCGAAAGCGUGGGGGAGCGAACAGG
rnacentral:rRNA from 1 species